UUAAGUUCAGCGGGUAUUCCUACCUGAUCCGAGGUCAACCUUGUAAAAUUGGGGGUUUACCGGCCGGCAUGCGCCCGCGCCCGGAACGAGAAGUAACUACUGCGUUCGGUCGUGGGACGCACCCGCCGCUGUCUUUCGGGGCUGCAGCGCAGGACCCCAACGCCAGGCGUGGCCUGAGGGUUGUAAUGACGCUCGAACAG
rnacentral:misc_RNA from 1 species